rnacentral:lncRNA from 1 species
GCUGCCCCGUCGCCCGCUCGGAAGGAGGAAGCUGCGAGCCGCGGGCCCGCUGGGGUCCCAGUGAUCCCCUUCUCUGCUGGUCCUCUGGUCAGAGCAAGCUCCUUCUCUGGGGCUGCAGAAAAACAUUCUGUACCAGCUCUUUGUCCACAGACAAUAAUGAGAUGAAAGGAAAAGAAAGAAACCAUAUCUGGAAAUGAAGACGAAAGCAAAAAAGACAGGAAGUGGCCUUGCAGCAGUGCUCUCAAAACUGCCCUAAUUCAGUCAAAUGUGUAUCCUGUGGAAUGACUAUAAGGUAAAUCCAUAAAUUAAUGGGAAAGAAGAAUUACUUUUGGAGCAUUAUGUUUUUUGGGCAACUUUUGCAGCUCAAACUGAGACUUUGGGGAAAUAUACUGCUAG